AAAAUGUGUGAAAUGCUACAAGCUUCCAGGACUGUGAAACAAGACAUUUCUUUGGUUCAAGCCACUCCCUUAGUGCACAUUGUUAUGGCAGCCAUGGAAAACCAUCCACAGAGGGUCAGUUCCUAUGGAGGUGGGGUGAGUGACGAGAUGUUCCUGACUGGGCUGACAACGGAGGACGAGAGAGCUUGGGUGUGGAUGGGAAAAUAACUAGAAACUUCCCUUGAUCUCUCAGCAUUCUGUUCCAUCCCUGUCACUUCGAUGUCUCUCUUUCUUGAAUAUGGAAGCAGCCCUGGGCCCAGCUGCUGCAGGUGGCCAGGAAGGAGCCUGGGAGGAUGACGGGGUUCCUGAUCUGAUAGAACUGGGCUGUGACUAGGCAGAACCCUGUUCCACCACACACACCCCAGUGGAGGUC
rnacentral:lncRNA from 1 species